UACAUACCAUUUUAAAUCCUGAGCCUAAUA
rnacentral:piRNA from 1 species